rnacentral:rRNA from 1 species
AUUGAACGCUGGCGGCAGGCCUAACACAUGCAAGUCGAGCGGAUGAAGGGAGCUUGCUCCUGGAUUCAGCGGCGGACGGGUGAGUAAUGCCUAGGAAUCUGCCUGGUAGUGGGGGAUAACGUCCGGAAACGGGCGCUAAUACCGCAUACGUCCUGAGGGAGAAAGUGGGGGAUCUUCGGACCUCACGCUAUCAGAUGAGCCUAGGUCGGAUUAGCUAGUUGGUGGGGUAAGGGCCUACCAAGGCGACGAUCCGUAACUGGUCUGAGAGGAUGAUCAGUCACCCUGGAACUUAGACACGGUCCAGACUCCUACGGGAGGCAGCAGUGGGGAAUAUUGGACAAUGGGCGAAAGCCUGAUCCAGCCAUGCCGCGUGUGUGAAGAAGGUCUUCGGAUUGUAAAGCACUUUAUGUUGUGAUAAAGCGCAGUAAGUUAAUACCUUGCUGUUUUGACGUUACCAACAGAAUAAGCACCGGCUAACUUCGUG